UACGUAGGGGCAAGCGUUAUCCGGAUUUACUGGGUGUAAAGGGAGCGUAGACGGUAUGGUAAGUCAGAUGUGAAAGCCCGGGGCUCAACCGUGGAAGGUCAUUGGAAACUGGGGAACUUGAGUGCAGAAGAGGAGAGUGGAUUUCCUAGUGUAGCGGUGAAAUGCGUAGAGAUUAGGAAGAACACCAGUGGCGAAGGCGAUUCUCUGGACUGUAACUGACGCUGAGGCUCGAAAGCGUGGGGAGCAAACAGGAUUAGAUACCCGGGUAGUCCCUGAG
rnacentral:rRNA from 1 species